ACGCGGUGAAUACGUUCCCGGGCCUUGUACACACCGCCCGUCAAACCAUGGGAGCCGGAGGUACCUGAAGUCCAUAACCGAAAGGAGUGGCCCAAGGUAAAUUCGGUGACUAGGGUU
rnacentral:rRNA from 1 species